UGCGUAACAGCUCACUGGUCGAGUGGACAUGCGCCGACAAUACACGGGGCUAAGCAUGGCGCCGAAGCGGCGGACUAAUGCAAAUUAGUGGUAGGGGAGCUUCCCCGGGGGGGCGAAGCCGGAGGGCGACCUCCGGUGGACCGCCGGGGAGUGAGAAUGCUGGCACGAGUAGCGAGAGCGGGGCGAGAAACCCCGCCGCCGCAAGCCCAAGGUUUCCUGGGCGAUGCUAAUCAUCCCAGGGUCAGCCGGGAGCUAAGGCGAGGCCGAGAGGCGCAGCCGAUGCGCAGCUGGUGGACAUUCCAGCGCCGCUCCCGCGCCGCUAUUGACCGAAGGGGCGACGGAGAAGGGCAGCCGGGCGGGGUUCUGGACGUCCCCGUGAAAGCGCGUAGGGGGCAGGGCAUGGAAAUCAGCCCUGCAUACACCCCGAGACGCGAGACGAAGCCUUCGAGGCGAAGCCGGUCAUCCCAUGCUCCCGAGAAAAACCCCUAGGCAGGCGCGGGCGCGCCCGUACCAAGACCGACACAGGUGGGCGGGUAGAACAUACCGAGGCGAUCGGGAGAACCAUGGUCAAGGAACUCGGCACACUGGCCCCGUAACUUAGGGAGAAGGGGCGCCCCCCGGCGUGAAGGAGCCAAGCCUCCGGAGCGCUGGGGGGCCGCAGCGAAACGGCCCAAGCGACUGUUUACCAAAAACACAGGACUCUGCCAAGCCGCGAGGCGAAGUAUAGGGUCUGACGCCUGCCCGGUGCCGGAAGGUUACGCGGAUGCGUUAGCGCAAGCGAAGCGCUGAAGCCAAGCCCCGGUAAACGGCGGCCGUAACUAUAACGGUCCUAAGGUAGCGAAAUUCCUUGUCGGGUAAGUUCCGACCUGCACGAACGGCGUAACGACUUGGGCGCUGUCUCGACCAUGGACCCGGUGAAAUUGCACUAUUCGUGAAGAUGCGAAUUACCUGCGGAAGGACGGAAAGACCCCGUGAACCUUCACUGCAGCUUGGCAUUGGCCGUUGGCUCGGCGCGUAGAGGAUAGGCAGGAGGCAUCGAAACCGGGGCGCCAGCCCCGGCGGAGCCGCCCUUGGAAUACUGCCCCCUCCGUUCCGGCGGCCUAACGCGGCGCCCUGACCGGGGCCGCGGACCGUGCCAGGCGGGUAGUUUGACUGGGGCGGUCGCCUCCUAAAAUGUAACGGAGGCGCGCAAAGGUUGGCUCAGGACGGUCGGCAACCGUCCCGAGAGCGCAAGAGUGCAAGCCAGCUUGACUGCGAGGCGGACGGGCCGAGCAGGUGCGAAAGCAGGCUCUAGUGAUCCGGCGGCACAGAGUGGAACGGCCGUCGCUCAACGGAUAAAAGGUACUCCGGGGAUAACAGGCUGAUCUUGCCCAAGAGUCCACAUCGACGGCAAGGUUUGGCACCUCGAUGUCGGCUCAUCGCAUCCUGGGGCUGAAGUCGGUCCCAAGGGUUGGGCUGUUCGCCCAUUAAAGCGGUACGCGAGCUGGGUUCAGAACGUCGUGAGACAGUUCGGUCCCUAUCCUCCGCAGGCGCAAGUGGAUUGAGGAGGUCUGCCCCUAGUACGAGAGGACCGGGGUGGACGGGCCUCUGGUGCAGCGGUUGUCGACCAACGGCACGGCCGCCUAGCUACGCCCGGCACGGAUAACCGCUGAAGGCAUCUAAGCGGGAAGCCGUCUCCGAGAUGAGUCCACUUUCCGGUAAGGGCCCGGGUAGAACACCCGGUCGACAGGGCGCAGGUGCAAGCGGGGCGACCCGCUCAGCCGAGCGCUGCUGAUAGCCCGAGCUCUUCGCAUC
rnacentral:rRNA from 1 species